UACGGAGGAUGCGAGCGUUAUCCGGAUUUAUUGGGUUUAAAGGGUGCGUAGGCGGAUUGUUAAGUCAGUGGUCAAAUUGAGGGGCUCAACCCCUUCCCGCCAUUGAAACUGGCGAUCUUGAGUGGAAGAGAAGUAUGCGGAAUGCGUGGUGUAGCGGUGAAAUGCAUAGAUAUCACGCAGAACCCCGAUUGCGAAGGCAGCAUGCCGGCUUCCUACUGACGCUGAAGCACGAAAGCGUGGGGAUCGAACAGG
rnacentral:rRNA from 1 species